AACCAUUAGGGUAUUUGUUUUUAUGUUAUUAAAAAAUAACCUCCCUGCAACGUUAUGGUUGCAAAAUAAUAAAACCUAAAAAGAACAUUCCUAAAACAUUCCUAUUAUUUGGUUCUCAAAAAAAUAACCAAACUGAAACCAAAUACUAACGUUAGGGGAACGUUCUGUGUUUGUUGGGUAUUGGGUUUUGCGUGUAAUAUUUGAGGUUUAUGCAGUGCGGAGGCUGUUUGUCAUGGUUUGAUGCUUUAGUUCUUGUGAGAAGUUUAUAAUAAUCGAUCUUCCUUUCGCACGGCUGAACUGAGCACUGAAAGAGAGUGACGCGUUCUUCAGACAUGAUAGCAGCCGUUCACACAGAACGCGUUUUAGAUUCACUGCGCUGCUUUUGUUUUUCAGUGUAAACAUGCGCUGACCGGUCCUGAGGCCACCGUCCUGCAGAGUUCAGCUCCAGCUUUUAAACAGUUCAGCAUGUCGAGGUUCGAUUCCCGGGGAAAGCAAGAACUGAUAACAAUGUGUAUCUUGAAUAGAAUGUAAAUCAGUUCGGAUAAAAGCGUCUGCAGUCGGACUCUACAGUGGUUGUAGUUUUUUCAGUUACAUUUACAUUCAGAAAUCAGGAGGUGCUUCCUUGAGCUUUACAUGGCCUGUCGUCAUACAAACAACAUGUCUUGAAGAAAAGAGUUAGUGCUUAAUGAUCGCUGUUAAAAAAUGAACCGUGAAGUAUAUUAGCAUGAUGUGUGUGUCUGAGAGUUCAUGACCCCGUCACACAUUUAUUUAUCUAAUGGGGUCAUUCCAUAGACGGGUCGGUGUCCUGCUCAAGUUCCUCAGUUGUGGGUAAUGAGAGUGGAAGAGCUGUUCAUUCACUCCACCGCCUACAUUUCCUGCCGGUACUGAGACUCGAACCCGCAACCUUCACGUUACAAGUCCGACUUUCUAACCAUUAGGCCACAAGUGCCCCAGAGAUGUUUUUCCCAAGAUGAUUUCUGGUUUCGGGCUCCAAAUGACAUAAUCAGCGAAACAUUUCUUUUGACCACUUUCAGAUUCUCAGAGCCAUUGGAAAGGGAAGCUUUGGAAAGGUGUGUAUCGUGCAGAAGACAGACUCCAGGAAGAUGUACGCCAUGAAAUACAUGAACAAGCAGAAGUGCAUCGAGAGAGAUGAAGUCAGAAACGUCCUCCGAGAGCUGCAGGUCAUGCAGAGACUCCAACACCCGUUCCUCGUCAACCUCUGGUUUUCAUUUCAGGAUGAGGAGGAUCUGUUUAUGGUGGUGGAUCUGUUGUUGGGGGGUGAUUUACGGUUUCAUCUGCAGCAGAACGUUCAUUUUAAAGAGGAAACGGUGAAGCUGUACAUGUGUGAGCUAGCGUUAGCGCUCUGUUACCUGCAGCGCGAGCACAUCAUCCACCGGGAUAUAAAGCCAGACAACAUUCUCUUGGAUGAACAUGGUCACGUCCACAUCGCUGACUUUAAUGUGGCCACGGUCCUGAAGGACUCAGAGAAAGCCACAUCUAUGGCAGGAACCAAACCCUACAUGGCUCCAGAAGUCUUCGAGUCGCAGGCGGACGCUGGUCCGGGUUAUUCGUACGGCGUGGACUGGUGGUCUCUCGGCAUCACGGCGUACGAACUCUUACGAGGGUCGCGGCCGUACGAGAUCCGCUCCAGCACGACAGCAGCCGAAGCCAUCAACACAAUCCACGGACAGCAUGUGAGCUUUUCCUCUGCCUGGUCUGACGGGAUCGUGGCUCUGAUCCGCAGGCUGUUGACUAAAGACCCUGAGAAUCGUCCGUCACGUUUGUCUGAUAUCCAGAAGGAUCCGUAUCUGGCUGAUGUGAACUGGGAUGCCGUGCUGGAGAAAUCCGUCCCCCCUGGUUUCGUUCCAAACAAAGGCCGUCUGAACUGCGACCCCACGUUCGAGCUGGAGGAGAUGAUCCUGGAGUCCAAACCGCUGCACAAGAAGAAGAAACGUCUGGCCAAGAGCAGAAACAAACACUCAAAGCCGCUGGUGUGUUCAUUUACUCGCCCUCAUGAUGCCGUUCCAAACACCGUGGCAGGAAAGUUUCUACAGAGCUUUAGAUCGAUUCAGAGCAGCUUCACAGUAAUAAACAGGAAAAAGGCUCUUCAAUUUCAAGAAUCAGAAUGUCAAUUGAAUGGAAAACAUCAUAAAGAUCCUGUUGGAUCCCAGUGAAGGAAGAGCGUCAUACGGGUUUGGAGCGACAUGAGGGCGAGAACUAUCGCUUUAAGAUGACAUUGCCUUGAAUCUAACUGACUUAUAACACCCAAUGUCAGUAUGAUGUAAGACAUCUGUCUGUCUCUCAGCCGACGCACAUGCAGACGAGUUUAGACACGCUGACAGAAGAUUUCAUGGUCUUCAACAGAGAAAAGAUGAAGCAGCAGCGGCUGGUGUCGGAGAGUCCAGCAGCGAAUAAACAGCAGGACGGACGACACAACAUGGUCACAUGGCACUG